rnacentral:lncRNA from 1 species
GCGAGAGUAUUAAUAUUGACAGGACAACUGCUUGGGAUUAAAAUGGCCACAACUGUAUUGAUUACAGAUGUAAGUAGGCUUUGGCUUGGAAAUUGGGUGUGUCCUGAAUCAGCCUAGCCCAAUUGCUGACUGUGAUGGCCUGGGAUUCCGAUUCGGAGGAUGAAACAGAGGAAUCCCAGCCUGCACAGGAGUCCCCGCCUCCAGGGCCGGCUGAACUGGGGCAAGGCCUAGAUGCUGAAGAGCCUGCACCUGUGGCAGUGCAUCAGGAGCUGGCCCCAGGUGAAGCCCUUCUGGCCCCAGAGGGGCUUGAUGACUCAGUGGCCACAGGUGAGCCUCCUCCAGGGCCCAGUAACCCUUCGGCCUCUCCUGAUCUGCAGAGGCUUAGGGCAGAGAGGCGAAGGGAACUGGUUGCCCCCAGGAGGAGUGCUCGCCUUAAGGCCAGAGGAGGCGGGGCUCCUGGGGACCGGGACCGCCCCUGGCCUUAGAAGAGGAUAAAGCCCAGUCAGCCCGGCCCCAGGUUGCGGGAGCAACGUCGUUGUUGGCUUCGGACCUUCCUGUGCUCCUGUUCCCUGCUCGGCUUCCUGUUCCUGACUAUCCGGUACUCCUGUUCCCUGCUCGGCUUCCUGUUCCUGACUAUCCGGUACUCCUGUUCCCUGCUCGGCCUCCUGUUCCCGACCAUCCGGUGUUCCUGUUCCCCGCCCGGCUCUCUGCCUCGGACCUUGCCCCUCUUCGUGUGGACUCUGCUACACCCAAGGUACCUUACCCCCGGGACCAGCACAGUUUGCUCCCGCCACACCCGCACUUCCCUUCGUAGGGGUGCGUCGGGGAAGAGCCAGAGGCCAUGGCUGAACAGGCGGCUGCACUGGUGGCUUUGGCCCAGGAGAACCAGGCCUUGAAUCACACCGUGCAGCAGCUCAGCGACGCGGUUGUGGCACUUCAGCAACGCUUGGAAGCCCUACCGGCUCCUGGGGCCGACGCCCGGCUCCGGGCAAGUACCCAGUGGCUUUGCCUGAGAAAUUUGAUGGAGCCCCGGCCAGCUUUCCCAUGUUCCUGGCCCAGGCCAAGCUGUAUAUUCAGGGGCGAGCCCGGAACUUUCCUGACGACCGCACCAAGGUGCACUUGUGGAUUAGUUUGUUAAAGGACCAGGCGGCCAAGUGGGCGUUGCCGUUACUCAGGCACGACUCCCCUUGCUGGCAGACUAUACGGGGUUUUGCAAUCGUUUGGAGGCCGCGCUCGGCAACCCCCAGAAAGAGAGUCAAGCCAACCGGGCGAUUCGGCGCUUGAAACAGGGCAAGUCCACGGUGGCCACAUAUACCACGGAGUUUCGGCUGUUGGCACAGGACUUGACCUGGAAUGACUCGGCACUGCGGGACCAGUAUCUCGAAGGGCUUUCGGACGAGGUACUGGACCAGUUGGCCACAAUGGAACGCCCCACCACGCUGGACACUCUCAUUCAACGGAGUCUACAAAUAGACGACCGGUUGGAGGAUCGUCGUCAGGCCCGGGUCGCCGACCCUUCCAGUUCACGGCACCAGCUUUUUCCGGCAGCCCCACGGUCACAAGUGAUUUAACGGAGGAGCCUAUGCAGCUCGGGCAGUGCGGCCACGCCUUUCCCCCGCAGAGAAGGCGCGGCGUCGGGAGGGAAAUCUCUGUCUUUACUGUGGCGGAAGUGGACACUUCGCUCGGUCCUGCCCAGGGAAACGCCAACCCCAGUAGCUGAUGGCCCUAGCUACCGGGGGUCCCAAACCGUACAGAAUGGGCCCGCACCAAUGGACUUGCAACAUCUUAUGGUUUCGGUACGUUUAUACCCUCCAGGUGGGCCCUGGAUCCUCACCCAUGCUUUGGUAGAUCCAGGGCAACCCGCUCCUAUAUGGACGCUGCUUUUGCCGCCCAUCAUCAGGUUCCACUUCGGAACAAGCCAGUACCGGUCCAGGUGGAAGCGAUUGACGGACGACUUCUGCGUUCAGGUGCCGUUACUCAGGAGACCCAGCCCUUGGUCCUGUGUCUCCAGCAGCACCGGAGUUGCGGACUUUGGACAUUGCCUCUAUGCCCCGCUUCCCCUGGUGCUCGGGAUGGACUGGCUGGAAGCCCACAACGUUCAGAUUGACUGGGUCAAACGGACCGUGCACUUCCCAGACCCAUGUUCCCAUGCUCAAUCCGGAACGCUGGCGGCCGCGCGCUCAGGGGAGGCUGCACCCACGCUCCCAGCCGUGUACCAGGACUACCAGGACGUGUUCGAGGAACGGGGGCAGACCAGCUGCCGCCACAUCGGCCUUUGGACUGCGGCAUAGACCUCCAACCCGGAGCGCCUUUACCAGUGGGUCGCUUAUAUUCCCUAACAGAGCCAGAGCGCGAGGCUUUGCAGGACUUCUUGCGCAAGAACCUGGAGCGUGGGUUCAUUAGGCCUUCCACCUCGCCUACCGCGGCACCAGUGCUUUUCGUUAAGAAGAAAUGUGGGGAACUCCGCCCUUGCCACGAUUACCGAGCCCUGAACAAAAUUACCGUCCCAGACCGGUACCCCUUGCCCCUUAUCUCGGAACUGCUGGAGCGGGUGCAAGGGGCACAGGUGUUCACCAAGCUGGACCUCCGGGGGGCCUACAACUUGAUUCGGAUCCGAGCCGGGGAUGAGUGGAAGACAGCGUUUGGGACCCGGUACGGGCAGUUCGAAUAUUUGGUUAUGCCUUUCGGUUUGUGCAACGCGCCUGCUGUGUUUCAACGCUACAUCAACCACGUGUUUCAGGACUUGUUAGACAAGUACGUGGUGGUGUAUUUGGAUGACAUACUGAUUUACUCCCGUGACCCGGCUUGCCAUGAGGGACAUGUCCGGACCGUGCUGCAGCGCUUGCGUGAGCACCGUUUGUACGCAAAGCUCAGCAAGUGCGAGUUCCAUCAGCGGACUGUGGACUUCCUUGGUCACCGGCUCUCUCCAGAUGGGGUGCAAAUGGACCCGGGAAGGUGACAGCGGUUCAAGAAUGGGCGGCCCCCCCGAACCGCCAGGACCUGCAGCGCGUCCUGGGCGUCGCCAAUUACUACCGGACCUUCAUCGCUGAUUAUGCUCAUCGCACCACCCCGUUGACCCGGCUACUGCGCCCAAAGACGCCGUUUUCCUGGGACAAGGAGGCAGAGGAGGCGUUUCAGGGGUUGGAAGGCCUGUUUCCAGAGGGCACCAAUCUUACAACAUCCUGACCCCUCUCGACCCUUUGUGGUGGAGACCGACGCUUCCAGUACGGCUCUCGGUGCCGUCUUGUCUCAACAGAUUGGUCCUGAAGCGCCACUCUUACCCUGUGCCUUCUAUUCUCGCCAGCUCCUACCAGCGGAGCGUAACUAUACUGUGUGGGAGCGGGAACUACUGGCCAUCAAGGUAGCCUUUGAGGUCUGGCGCCACCAUCUUGAGGGGGCACGACAUCCGGUGGAGGUGAGAACCGACCACCGGAACCUGGAGUACCUCCAGACCACCCGCAAGCUGAACCAAAGACAGAUCCGGUGGGCGUUGUUCUUUUCCCGGUUCCAGUUCCGGAUCCGCUACAUCCCUAGCUCUCAGAAUCAGAAGGCGGAUGCCCUGUCCCGGAAACCCGAAGACAACGCAGACACGGUACAGCAAGCAGAACCCACCACGAUCCUACCUCCGGCUGCAUUCCUGGCCACCCAGGAGGCGCAGCCACUGCAGGUUCGGGUGCGGGAACAGCAGCGGGUCGACGCUUGGGCCCAGGAACGACUCCGGGAGCUGGCUGAAGGGUCCAGCCCACAGUAUCCGGGGCUGGUCCUGCAUCAGGGCCUUCUGCUGCACCACGGUCGUCUGUCACAUCCCGCCAGGGCCACUACGGCUGGAGGUUCUCCGGAUGGCCCAUGAUGCCCCAGCAGCGGGGCACUUUGGACGGUAUCGGACCACCCAUCUGGUCAGUCGAGAGUUUUGGUGGCCCCGCCUGAAGGCUGACGUGGCUCGCUACGUUGCUGGUUGUGAUGUCUGCCGGCGCGCCAAGGGACCUACCGGGCGACCCCCCGGCCUACUUCAGCCAUUGCCAGUUCCACCGCGCCCCUGGCACACGGUUUCGUUGGACUUUGUAGUGGACUUACCCUCGUCUCGUGGCUGUACCUGCCUUCUGGUUUUCUCCGACCAUUUCACCAAGAUGGUGCACUGCGCUCCCUGUCCAUCUGUACCCACAGCCAAGGAAACUGCUCAGCUGUACCUUCAGCAUGUCUUCCGCCUGCAUGGACUACCUGAGCGCGUGGUGUCCGACCGGGGCGUUCAGUUCACAUCCCGGUUCUGGCGAGCAUUACACCAGACCCUCGGGACAGAGGUCUGCCUCUCGUCAGCCUACCACCCACAGACCGAUGGCCAGACGGAACGGGCGAACGCGGUGCUGGAGCAGUACCUCCGGUGUUACUGCAGCUACCAGCAGGAUGACUGGGUCGACCACCUGGCAUUGGCGGAGUUCGCCUAUAACAACGCGGUGAAUGCGUCCACCCAGCAGUCCCCGUUCCAGGCCAGUUAUGGUUAUCAUCCACGGCUGUUUCCAGAGGUGCUGCCGGCAUCCGCGGUCCCGGCGGUGACGGAGUGGCUUCAAGAGCUCCAGUCCCAGCAACAGCUUUGGUGGAGCAACUGCACCAGGCCAAGGAAGCGUACAAAGCCCAGGCCGACCGCCACCGCCAGGUGGGGCCGGAACUCGCGACGGUGACCUGGUUUGGCUCUCCACUCGCCACCUCCACCCCUCUCGACCUUCGCGGAAGUUGGACGCCCGCUUCACCGGCCCGUUCCCUAUCGUAGACCAAAUCUCUCCUGUGGCAUUCCGUCUCCGGUUACCCGCAACCCUGAAGGUUCACCCGGUCUUCCACAGGUCCCUUUUGAGUCCGGUGGCCCCACCCGACGAGUUCCACCUGGACCGUCCCCGACCGCAGCCAGUGUUGGUUCGGGAGAGCCUGAGUACGAGGUGGAACGCAUCCUGGACUCCCGAUACCGCAGGGGAAAGCUGCAGUAUCUCAUUGACUGGAAGGGGUACGGACCGGAGGACCGUUCCUGGGAACCAGCGGCCAAUGUCCACGCACCUGCCUGCCUCCGAGAGUUCCAUGCGACGUACCCCGGCAAGCCGGGUCCGGACCCUCGGUUGAGGGGGGGGCCUGGGAGGGGGGAUGGUGUGAUGGCCUGGGAUUCCGAUUCGGAGGAUGAAACAGAGGAAUCCCAGCCUGCACAGGAGUCCCCGCCUCCAGGGCCGGCUGAACUGGGGCAAGGCCUAGAUGCUGAAGAGCCUGCACCUGUGGCAGUGCAUCAGGAGCUGGCCCCAGGUGAAGCCCUUCUGGCCCCAGGGGGCUUGAUGACUCAGUGGCCACAGGUGAGCCUCCUCCAGGGCCCAGUAACCCUUCGGCCUCUCCUGAUCUGCAGAGGCUUAGGGCAGAGAGGCGAAGGGAACUGGUUGCCCCCAGGAGGAGUGCUCGCCUUAAGGCCAGAGGAGGCGGGGCUCCUGGGGACCGGGACCGCCCUGGCCUUAGAAGAGGAUAAAGCCCAGUCAGCCCGGCCCCAGGUUGCGGGAGCAACGUCGUUGUUGGCUCGGACCUUCCUGUGCUCCUGUUCCCUGCUCGGCUUCCUGUUCCUGACUAUCCGGUACUCCUGUUCCCUGCUCGGCUUCCUGUUCCUGACUAUCCGGUACUCCUGUUCNNNNNNNNNNNNNNNNNNNNNNNNNNNNNNNNNNNNNNNNNNNNNNNNNNNNNNNNNNNNNNNNNNNNNNNNNNNNNNNNNNNNNNNNNNNNNNNNNNNNNNNNNNNNNNNNNNNNNNNNNNNNNNNNNNNNNNNNNNNNNNNNNNNNNNNNNNNNNNNNNNNNNNNNNNNNNNNNNNNNNNNNNNNNNNNNNNNNNNNNCUGACUGAUUGCUCUUUUAGGUUUGAUUCUAGGUUAAAGGAUCCCCCCAUUACGCCAAUCAAAUGGGGGAGAACUUUGGCCACGACGGCAGGAAGGCUUUGAAGUCUGUGCAAGGCAAUUAAGGCCAAGAGAAGCAGGCACUCCUGAUUUAUUAACUGCCUGAUAAGAAACUGUAAUUGACUGUUUUCCUGGGCC